AGAGUUUGAUCAUGGCUCAGGACGAACGCUGGCGGCGUGCUUAACACAUGCAAGUCGAAGGCGUGGAGCAAUCCACGACUGGCGAACGGGUGCGUAACACGUGAGCGAUCUACCCUGGUGUGGGGGAUAGCCGGCCCAACGGCCGGGUAAUACCGCAUGCGCUCUUCUGGAGGCAUCUCUGGGAGAACAAAGCCUUCGGGCGCACUGGGAGGAGCUCGCGGCCUAUCAGCUAGUUGGCGAGGUAAUGGCUCACCAAGGCGACGACGGGUAGCUGGUCUGAGAGGAUGGCCAGCCACAUUGGGACUGAGAGACGGCCCAGACUCCUACGGGAGGCAGCAGUGGGGAAUCUUGCGCAAUGGGCGAAAGCCUGACGCAGCGACGCCGCGUGCGGGAGGACGGCCUUCGGGUCGUAAACCGCUGUUGCCCGGGACGAAAAGCCCUUUCGAGGGCGUUGACGGUACCGGGUGAGGAAGCGCCGGCUAACUCCGUGCCAGCAGCCGCGGUAAUACGGAGGGUGCGAGCGUUGUCCGGAAUCACUGGGCGUAAAGGGCGCGUAGGCGGCGCGAGGAGUCGGGGGUGAAAGUCCGGGGCUCAACCCCGGAUCGGCCUUCGAUACUCUCGCGCUCGAGCACAGUAGAGGCGGGUGGAAUUCCGGGUGUAGCGGUGGAAUGCGUAGAGAUCCGGAAGAACACCGGUGGCGAAGGCGGCCCGCUGGGCUGUGGCUGACGCUGAGGCGCGACAGCGUGGGGAGCAAACAGGAUUAGAUACCCUGGUAGUCC
rnacentral:rRNA from 1 species